GCAGAACCCUGCAGAAGAAAGAGAAGCGCGAAGAUUGCCACAAAGCAACGUCCAAGAUAUAGCUUCAACGUUGAAGAAGUUGGCUGGCUGACUCCUUUUAAAUCUCAUGGCGAUCCUCAUGUCAUGCGUUACUCCCAAAACGUUGGCGACAUGCACUCCGGAGGUUUCUCGGCAACAACGGGACACAUGUAUUUCUGUCUCAGCUCAUCGCCGGCAAAUCCGAAUCGGCUUAACCAUGAAGUCUUGGGGCACCAGCUGUACCGUUCCGCCGAUGCGGAUAAGAGGAGCAACACGAAUUACUGCAGCUGGUUCCGGUCCUGGAGAAUUGCCAGAAGAAAAAUCACCAAUACCCAACAAAGAGGCUGCAAUUAGUUCGGACCCUGGGGAAUUACCAGGAAAAUCCCCACCGCCCAACAAAUCUUCAUUGGUCACGGUGGUCGUUGGUGGCGUCUUUGGAGCAGUAUCUUUUUACGGACAGAUGAGAGCAAUGGAAGAGAAUGUGGAGAAGACGGCAGAGGUAGCAAUCGAGACUAUCGAGAAAGCGGCGGAUGUGGUUGACAAACUCGCAGACGAAGUCAUAGCAUUUCCCGGUAAUGAAAACCUUAAGAAGGCAGCCUUCAGGAUCAAAGUCAUCGCAGAAGAGAUAGAGAAGGAUGCAGAAGAAGCCGAGGCCCUAAUCCACAAGGUUGAAGAGAUAGAAAAAGAGGUGGAUGCUGCAGUGGAUACUUUCAUGGGGAAGGGCAUGAAGAAGGGAUCGCAGAGACGAAUGGGGUAGCAAAUAAAAGUAACAGUUACUGAUAGUAGAAGUGAACAAAUAAAUAUAGGAUCAUCUUCUCAUUGGAUGUGUAGGGAGUGCUCAACUUUGAUUGGCAAGAAGACCCUUCAGUGGAAAUAAUUUUGAGGCUAGCUAGAAAUCAGCAUUGAGGUUCACCAUGGUUGGGCAUGUGGUGAAAUCAUGUCAAUUACUAUAAACAUGGGGAUCCAUGGUGGAAUCUCAAUGAAACUUUGGGGAAAUGUCAUGGAUAUGGAACCAUUUAUGAUGAUCCAUUUAGUGUGGUCCUUUCUCCAAGCGACGGGGUGCACCCCCCCAUGCGAUGGCGGCUGCACAAGUACUUCCUUCUCUGGUUCGGUUCCCGUAUAUCACUAUAAGCUCCUCAUCCUAUGGUGUUGUACAUGUGUGUAACUUUGUUCACAACUUCCACAUCCUCUAAUGUACAAAUCUACAAACUGUCUAUUUGACUUUGUGUGUGUGUGUGUGUGUGAAUAGUUGUACAGUCCCUAAGCAACAAUAGUCAAGUAUCCAGCAAAUGGUCAGCUAGUAGAUUACAUGAUUACUAGGUAGUUAAUAUACCAAAUUUUAUAUUUGUUAUCUAUAGCCAUACGAUAAAACAAUGAUGGCAACGAUACAAAGAUUUGAAUUUCAUGUUGA